UCAUAAACACUCCAAAUACACCAAUAAAAGCAUAUGCAUGAAAAUGCUCAUGGAUUAAAUUAUCUAGGUUCUGUUAUUGACAUAAUAGCUCUGCUCUCUUUACUAUCGAAGUUUCUUCAUGAUACACGAGAUGAACCUGCAUGUAAAGAAACCGAGUUCAAGAUCUCUCUUUAUUUGGUCUGACAUCCUGGUAAAAGGCGAACGCCAUAAACCAAAAACCAUUAACAGGAAGGUAAAUGGAAGCAACAACAAUAAAAAAUCCUGACAUUAUCUACAGCCCCAACAAUUUAUCCUCAUGUUCAAUCCAUAAUAGUAAGGGGGAGAGACGAGAGGUGAGUUGUACCUGAGGCGUGCAGGCGACCAAGGGCACGUACUAACUGAUUGACGAAAGAACCCAAGGCUCAACACAACGCCAAGGGCACGUACUAACUGAUCGACAGAAGAACCCAAGGCUCAACACAACGCCUCUGCUGCUCCUGCAUCAUGCGGCCAUCUAAAAAAGAAUCUUCACGGACCCGGCUCAACCAAGUCCUCCUCCACAUCCUCAUUGGCGCCACCUUCCACUCACUGACCCCAACACCAUCAUCCUCCAUCGACCCGUCUCCAUAUGGCGACGGUGAGUCCGGCGGCUCCAAGAGCUCAGACACUGGCGCGAGCGGUCCAUCAGCACCGGAUUUCCUCCACCCGACGUCCAGCAAGUGCCACUCUGAUGCAAAGUAGCACCACCAGGCACGAGCUGUAGCAAAUGGAUAAUCAAAAAUAUCGAAGCCAUAUAUCAUAUGAGGAAACUAAAUUGUCCAAGAAAACACACCUAGCCAAUAGUUUCUUAGUUUAUUUUAUCUAAUUCCAAGGAAGUUAGUCUGAAAUCAGUUGUCGCGGUCAAUGUUCAUAAGCAAAAAAAAACUUCUAGAAUUGGCAUAUUCUGUUGAAUAGUGGAACUGGAAUACCUUAUUGUGUACCUCCAAAGUGGCAGUUUUCUCUUGAUCAUUUUGCAUUGCUAUUUUCUCAGACUCCUUCAACUUAGCACGGACUGAUUUCUUCUCUUCCAAGGCAGGUAUGCAAGCUUAUACAAAUCUCUAAUAAUGAUAUAUCUUUAUGAGACCAAGUUGUAUUCAGUAAAUCACAGGUUAACCAGGCUGUACAUCUGGCAGGCUUGAUAUUGAGCUAAAUAAUAGGAUUUCAGCCCCUCUACGAGCC
rnacentral:lncRNA from 1 species